GCCCUGCCCCUCCGGGUCCACGCCGUUUAUUUUUAUUAGACUUAUAUUUAGAAAGGCGGCCCAGGGGCACUUGGGACUGAGCACAGCAAGUGUGGAGGGCUUCCUGCAGGCCAGGCCCCACUGCAAGGUCUGUAUAAUCUAGUGUAAUCCUCCACUAACUCCCAUUAUACAGAGAGGUAAACUGAGGCACAAAGGCAUGGAGCAGUUUACCUUAAACUGAGACAAGAAUUCAGUUGCAAGGUCUGUAUAAUCUAAUGUAAUCCUCCACUAACUCCCAUUAUA